AGAGUUUGAUCAUGGCUCAGAUUGAACGCUGGCGGCAGGCCUAACACAUGCAAGUCGAGCGGAUGAAGGGAGCUUGCUCCUGGAUUCAGCGGCGGACGGGUGAGUAAUGCCUAGGAAUCUGCCUGGUAGUGGGGGAUAACGUCCGGAAACGGGCGCUAAUACCGCAUACGUCCUGAGGGAGAAAGUGGGGGAUCUUCGGACCUCACGCUAUCAGAUGAGCCUAGGUCGGAUUAGCUAGUUGGUGGGGUAAAGGCCUACCAAGGCGACGAUCCGUAACUGGUCUGAGAGGAUGAUCAGUCACACUGGAACUGAGACACGGUCCAGACUCCUACGGGAGGCAGCAGUGGGGAAUAUUGGACAAUGGGCGAAAGCCUGAUCCAGCCAUGCCGCGUGUGUGAAGAAGGUCUUCGGAUUGUAAAGCACUUUAAGUUGGGAGGAAGGGCAGUAAGUUAAUACCUUGCUGUUUUGACGUUACCAACAGAAUAAGCACCGGCUAACUUCGUGCCAGCAGCCGCGGUAAUACGAAGGGUGCAAGCGUUAAUCGGAAUUACUGGGCGUAAAGCGCGCGUAGGUGGUUCAGCAAGUUGGAUGUGAAAUCCCCGGGCUCAACCUGGGAACUGCAUCCAAAACUACUGAGCUAGAGUACGGUAGAGGGUGGUGGAAUUUCCUGUGUAGCGGUGAAAUGCGUAGAUAUAGGAAGGAACACCAGUGGCGAAGGCGACCACCUGGACUGAUACUGACACUGAGGUGCGAAAGCGUGGGAGCAAACAGGAUUAGAUACCCUGGUAGUCCACGCCGUAAACGAUGUCGACUAGCCGUUGGGAUCCUUGAGAUCUUAGUGGCGCAGCUAACGCGAUAAGUCGACCGCCUGGGGAGUACGGCCGCAAGGUUAAAACUCAAAUGAAUUGACGGGGGCCCGCACAAGCGGUGGAGCAUGUGGUUUAAUUCGAAGCAACGCGAAGAACCUUACCUGGCCUUGACAUGCUGAGAACUUUCCAGAGAUGGAUUGGUGCCUUCGGGAACUCAGACACAGGUGCUGCAUGGCUGUCGUCAGCUCGUGUCGUGAGAUGUUGGGUUAAGUCCCGUAACGAGCGCAACCCUUGUCCUUAGUUACCAGCACCUCGGGUGGGCACUCUAAGGAGACUGCCGGUGACAAACCGGAGGAAGGUGGGGAUGACGUCAAGUCAUCAUGGCCCUUACGGCCAGGGCUACACACGUGCUACAAUGGUCGGUACAAAGGGUUGCCAAGCCGCGAGGUGGAGCUAAUCCCAUAAAACCGAUCGUAGUCCGGAUCGCAGUCUGCAACUCGACUGCGUGAAGUCGGAAUCGCUAGUAAUCGUGAUCAGAAUGUCACGGUGAAUACGUUCCCGGGCCUUGUACACACCGCCCGUCACACCAUGGGAGUGGGUUGCUCCAGAAGUAGCUAGUCUAACCGCAAGGGGGACGGUUACCACGGAGUGAUUCAUGACUGGGGUGAAGUCGUAACAAGGUAGCCGUAGGGGAACCUGCGGCUGGAUCACCU
rnacentral:rRNA from 1 species